rnacentral:rRNA from 1 species
UUGACGAACGCUGGCGGCGUGCCUAAUACAUGCAAGUAGAACGCUGAAGAGAGGAGCUUGCUCUUCUUGGAUGAGUUGCGAACGGGUGAGUAACGCGUAGGUAACCUGCCUUGUAGCGGGGGAUAACUAUUGGAAACGAUAGCUAAUACCGCAUAACAAUGGAUGACACAUGUCAUUUAUUUGAAAGGGGCAAAUGCUCCACUACAAGAUGGACCUGCGUUGUAUUAGCUAGUAGGUGAGGUAACGGCUCACCUAGGCGACGAUACAUAGCCGACCUGAGAGGGUGAUCGGCCACACUGGGACUGAGACACGGCCCAGACUCCUACGGGAGGCAGCAGUAGGGAAUCUUCGGCAAUGGGGGCAACCCUGACCGAGCAACGCCGCGUGAGUGAAGAAGGUUUUCGGAUCGUAAAGCUCUGUUGUAAGUCAAGAACGAGUGUGAGAGUGGAAAGUUCACACUGUGACGGUAGCUUACCAGAAAGGGACGGCUAACUACGUGCCAGCAGCCGCGGUAAUACGUAGGUCCCGAGCGUUGUCCGGAUUUAUUGGGCGUAAAGCGAGCGCAGGCGGUUUGAUAAGUCUGAAGUUAAAGGCUGUGGCUCAACCAUAGUUCGCUUUGGAAACUGUCAAACUUGAGUGCAGAAGGGGAGAGUGGAAUUCCAUGUGUAGCGGUGAAAUGCGUAGAUAUAUGGAGGAACACCGGUGGCGAAAGCGGCUCUCUGGUCUGUAACUGACGCUGAGGCUCGAAAGCGUGGGGAGCGAACAGGAUUAGAUACCCUGGUAGUCCACGCCGUAAACGAUGAGUGCUAGGUGUUGGAUCCUUUCCGGGAUUCAGUGCCGCAGCUAACGCAUUAAGCACUCCGCCUGGGGAGUACGACCGCAAGGUUGAAACUCAAAGGAAUUGACGGGGGCCCGCACAAGCGGUGGAGCAUGUGGUUUAAUUCGAAGCAACGCGAAGAACCUUACCAGGUCUUGACAUCCCGAUGCUAUUUCUAGAGAUAGAAAGUUACUUCGGUACAUCGGUGACAGGUGGUGCAUGGUUGUCGUCAGCUCGUGUCGUGAGAUGUUGGGUUAAGUCCCGCAACGAGCGCAACCCCUAUUGUUAGUUGCCAUCAUUCAGUUGGGCACUCUAGCGAGACUGCCGGUAAUAAACCGGAGGAAGGUGGGGAUGACGUCAAAUCAUCAUGCCCCUUAUGACCUGGGCUACACACGUGCUACAAUGGUUGGUACAACGAGUUGCGAGUCGGUGACGGCAAGCUAAUCUCUUAAAGCCAAUCUCAGUUCGGAUUGUAGGCUGCAACUCGCCUACAUGAAGUCGGAAUCGCUAGUAAUCGCGGAUCAGCACGCCGCGGUGAAUACGUUCCCGGGCCUUGUACACACCGCCCGUCACACCACGAGAGUUUGUAACACCCGAAGUCGAUGAGGUAACCUUUUGGAGCCAGCCGCCUAAGGUGG